rnacentral:lncRNA from 1 species
GGGACUUCGCGUCAGGUGCGUCCAAACUUUGUAAAGUUGAGUGAGGAGCUCGAUUCGAGGCGAUUCAAACGUCAAAUGAUUUGACAACUGUUGCGUGUUUCUAAAGUGACAGUUGUGUGCCAUGCCCAUUCUCCUAAAAGGCUGGUGCGGCUACUUAUUAUUAUUGACGAUUGGUUGUAACUGAGGUGACGCAUUUUAAGCAAGCGUGAAUGUCACAGCGACAUCUUAGGCGUAGAUCAAAUCUGGCAUUUCAUUUCAACGGCCUAGAUUGAAGAUGCGAUGAACGACUUAGAUUGAUCGCAUUUGAAUUCGAUGGUGAAGAUCGGAUUUGUCUUUCUAUAAAAGGAGGACUCUGAGGUUUUCUCAGGCUUUUUACCCUUGCGAAAUAAACAAUAUAUUUUGCUCUCAAGUCAUUAGCGAUUUCUGACGUUUUCUAAGCAAUUCUGGUAAGAAAAUUGAACUUUUGGCGACCUUACACCAUUUCCGGCUAGGAAAACCUUCAAACUCGUAAGUUUCAGUACCUUUUAGGGCUUUUAAAUAUUGAAAAAAGGGCCUUGGACGGGAGUUUUGGUUCGGGGAGGAGGUUAGAACUAGUGAGGAUGGACGAGCCCAUUGUGGCGACCUCCUCAGAAAUAGCCGAGGCAAUAAUAGGGAGAAAAAUAUAUGGAAGCAACCGGAUAGCCCAGCAGAUACUUCUGUGCAUUGCGGGGCAUUGGACUACCCAUCCAAAUUAAGAGAGGCCGACCUGGAGAGACUUAGGAUAGAGUAUAGGAUCCCUGAUAGCAUAGAUUUGAUCCUUCCCGAGCCGGAAGAGAGAGCCUGCUACCCUAAGCCGGGUUGUGUGGCCAUUAGCGAGGCGAUCCUUAGGGCCGGACAUAGGCUGUCAGUUCACCCAUUCUUUAGGAUGGUGCUUAGAUCCUAUGGGCUAGCCCCGACGCAACUCAAUACGAACUCCUGGAGCCAAAUGGUGGGCUCCUGGAUGUUGUGGAAAGAAGCGUCAUUAGGGGUGGAGAUGCCCCUCUCUGUCUUCCAGACCCUUUAUAUACCUAAGGUAACUAUCGGGAGGGAUAAGACCCGGGGAUGGUAUUGCCUUACUUCAUGGGGUUUCCACACUCCAUUCAUGCUCGAUCUGUCGAGCUCCAUCAAAGAAUGGAAGAGCUCGUGGUGUUGGGCCGCAGGGCGAUGAGACACGAUGGAGGGGAUCCCCUGGCACCUCUUACAGUCCCGACGAAGUACUCAACACUUAGUGAGUAUAGUAGUUGUUUUUCCUUAUAUUUCUCUUCGGUUCGAAUUGUGCCUAACAUUUACAUUUCCUUUGUAGGUGCUCUUCCUCGGUGCGAACUGUCAUCCGAGGACUUUGAAAUCAUAUGUAUCAUUUAUCAGCUGACUCAAAAGAAGAGGUCUUACCAUAGGUUGAUCCGAAAGAACAUCCACUUCAUUACUCACGAUCUGAUGGCAUCCCAAGGUAAUUGGACUGAAGUCUUUACCCUUUAUUCUGAACUCUCAACACUUGUACUAAUUCAUCAUUCGCUCUUUCCAGACAACUUUAAUAAGAUGAUGUCGGUGCGCCCCGACUUUAAGACCAUCCAGAAGAUGAUGGCAGAGGCACAGGCGUUGAUGGCCUCCUCCUCUUACAAAAAGCAAAUGGAGGAUUUGGUGGAAGCCAGUAAGAGGCUUCAGCCUCCGACGGAGGAGGAGGUACCGGAGGACCUGGAGGCUGACCUUCAGAGGAAGGGCAAGAAGAGUGCCGCCCCUCCAAAACGUCCAACUGUAGCGAGGCCACCCCCUGCUCUGAGGCAAACCACAAUUCUCACCGGGGUGGCUACUCCAGAGAAGAGGCCCGCCCCACCUGAGCCUGCCACUACCCCGGCCACAACACCCCUCGCUACCGCGCCAAUUGAUCAAGUGCCAGGGCAGCAGAAGAGGAAGAGUCCCUGUCCCUCUAAGGAGGUCGACUUUCUGGGCACAAACUUGGAGGAGCCCGUAAGGGAAGUGUUGGAGGCUCUUCCUCCAGAAACAGCUGCGGUGGCGGUCGUCUGUAGCAAAUACUGGAUUGAGGAGUGGAGGGACCACACCGCCUUCUGCACAGCUGAGGAUUUGGUGGCUGUAAAUAGCGCCGGCGUGGCUCGGGCCCUGAGUACAAGCAUCCAACUUGAGGGCUUGAUGAAGGAUCUGAACUCCAAGUGGGAGGACCUCGCCAAGCGCCUUGAGGAGGCGAUGCACUACGGGGAUACCGUGCGAGUUGCCCAGACCAAGGCCACGCAGGUGGAGGAGGGGAAGAAGGAAGCUGAGGCCCAGCUAACUGCCGCCAAAGCAGAAGUGGAGCGACUGAAGAAGGAGUUGUACAAGGUGGAGUGCCAAGUGGCUGCUGUGACUCGGCGGCUUGAUCACGCCAAUGAGCACCACAAGGUCGAUAUCGAGGCUCUGGAGGCCUCCAACAAAGAGAAGGCGGAGCUGAGGCAGAAGGCAGAGGCUCAGUCAGAGGAGAUUGCCUCUUUGAAAGAGAAGUUGAAGUCUGUAGGGGAGGUGGCAGCUCAGAACUUCAUCGACCACUUUGAAGACCAUCCCUUGUAUGAUGACUUUGCCAAUUUUUGGGCCUCAUGGAGUGCCCAAAGCUUAUUGGGUCGAGUGAAGGAGGUGCACCCCACUUUGGACAUCUCUUCAUUGGAGGCAGAGUUCGGGAGGCCAACUGGAGGUCGACCUGAUAGGCUUGCUGAGGAAGCUCCGGAGGCCCCAGAGGCUACCGAUGUAGAAGUCCCUCCAGCAGAAUAGGGUUAUCUUUUGUAAUGGCUUCGGC